CAGCAGCCGCGGGAAUACAGAGGGUGCAAGCGUUAAUCGGAAUUACUGGGCGUAAAGCGCGCGUAGGUGGUUUGUUAAGUUGGAUGUGAAAUCCCCGGGCUCAACCUGGGAACUGCAUCCAAAACUGGCAAGCUAGAGUAUGGUAGAGGGUGGUGGAAUUUCCUGUGUAGCGGUGAAAUGCGUAGAUAUAGGAAGGAACACCAGUGGCGAAGGCGACCACCUGGACUGAUACUGACACUGAGGUGCGAAAGCGUGGGGAGCAAACAGGAUUAGAGACCCCGGUAGUCCCUGUCUCUUAUAC
rnacentral:rRNA from 1 species